GCAAGUUCUCCAGUAGCCCUCUUUUAUUUCCUUGGAUGUCUUUUUUUUUUCUUCCUACAAUAAAGGAGUACAGGAAAGAACUCCAGUCCAAAGAGUGAAUGACGGCUGGUAAAGGCCUCUGUGUGAGGUCUUUCGAAAGAUAAUCUCUUUGUAAAGAUCUGGGUGACUGGAAUUUCCCUCCCCUUCUCCAGACGCCCCCUCCCCAACCUUCCUCUAAUACAAAUCCUUAAGCAUUAAGUCAGGCGGAAAAUGAGUCUGCUCUGCAUUUGUCUUCCUGAAUGGCAGUCAACUCCUGCUUAAUCUUUCAACAUAUAUUUGUUCAGUGGAUCAACAGAUUGUUGUUAAGAACUGAACUAGAGUUUGAACAUGCUAGGAAAGUGUUUGAAGGCUAGUAUAUCUCCAGACCUUUGAGCCCAAUAAUCUUCAGCACCAAGGUGCAGAAACAAGUAAAUCAGAUUACAGUGAUUUUUCCUUUUUGAGAGAAGAACACUUAUUGAUUGCCCUUGAGAUUCAAUGUCUUCCAAAUAUUAGCCUGGGGAACAGGAAGCCUCCGAGUUGCCAUGUGUCUCUGCUUGC